AAAUAAAAUAAAAGCCAGAACGAUCUAUAUGACUAUGGCGAUCUGAGACCAAAAACCCUCAAAGGUCAAAACUUUUCACCGAACCAAACAACACGGUCCCCUCUGUUUCUCAACUUGUCUUUCUCUCUUAGCUACAAAUCCUCUUUUUGUAGCAACUUUUAUUUUGGUGUUUUUUUUUUCCCUUUGAAUAAUUUUAUCAGAGUUUCAGAAAAUGGCUUACGCAUCUCAUAUUAUCAAUCACUCCAAAAAGUUAAGAAAUGUGCCCAAUUUUCUACGACAUGAGCAUUCCAUUUUGGUUCGUUGGUUUUCAAAUGGCACUCAACCCUCUAUUGGUAAAAGAGAUGAUAUUCGGAAGAUCCAUCGUCAUCAUUGUAAUGUGUCUUCAGAAAGAGAGACAGUAACCAGGUCUGCCACCAAUGGUGCGAUGUCAAAGUUUGGCGUACAGAAGAGAAAUCCAAUUGCGGGACUGGCAUUUAACCAAGGCCUUUCAAGCUCACAGGUAUACAUGAGGAGAGGUUUUUCAUCUAAUUCAGGCCUUCCUCCACACCAAGAGAUUGGAAUGCCCUCUCUGUCACCUACAAUGAUGGAGGGUAAUAUUGCAAGGUGGUUGAAGAAAGAGGGUGAUAAAGUUGCUCCUGGUGAAGUGCUUUGUGAAGUUGAAACGGAUAAAGCAACAGUUGAGAUGGAAAGCAUGGAAGAAGGCUAUCUUGCCAAGAUUAUACAUGGAGAUGGGUCAAAGGAAAUUAAAGUUGGUGAGGUGAUUGCUGUGACUGUUGAAGAAGAGGGUGAUAUUGCAAAAUUUAAAGAUUACAAGCCUUCAGCAUUGGAUGCCGAUACUGCUUCUGGGUCAUCUGCUCCUGCUACACCAGAAAAAGAGGUCGUUGAAGAACCUGUCAGUUCGCCAGAACCAAAGACUUCCAAGCCUACUGCAGCAACUCCUGCUGAAGAUCGUGUUUUCUCCAGCCCUCUUGCCAGAAAAUUGGCCGAAGAGCAUAAAGUGCCUCUCUCAAGUAUCAAAGGAACAGGUCCUAAUGGAACCAUUGUGAAGGCAGAUAUUGAAGAGUACUUGGCCUCUCGUGGAAAGGAAGUAUCAGCUGCAGCUCCUUCAGCUAAGGCUGGUACACCUGCAGCAUUAGAUUACACUGACAUACCUCAUUCUCAGAUAAGGAAGAUCACGGCUUCACGCUUAUUAUUCUCCAAGCAAAAUAUUCCCCAUUAUUAUCUAACAGUAGAUACAUGUGUUGACAAACUCAUGGAUUUGCGGAGCCAACUCAAUUCAUUACAAGAAGCAUCUGGUGGAAAACGGAUAUCAAUUAAUGAUCUUGUAAUUAAGGCUGCUGCUUUGGCUCUUAGUAAAGUUCCUCAGUGCAAUAGUUCAUGGACAGAUGAUUACAUCCGCCAGUAUCGCAACAUAAAUAUAAAUGUUGCAGUACAGACAGAUAAUGGACUCUUUGUCCCAGUUAUAAAGGACGCUGACAAGAAAGGUCUAUCCAGGAUAGGUGAAGAGGUCAAGCAAUUGGCCCAAAAAGCCAAAGAAAACAGCUUAAAACCAGAAGAUUAUGAGGGAGGUACAUUUACAGUGUCAAAUUUGGGAGGCCCCUUUGGUAUCAAACAAUUUUGUGCCAUCAUUAACCCUCCUCAGGCAGGCAUUCUUGCAGUUGGGUCUGGUUAAAACGGGUCGUACCUGGUUCAGGCCCUGACCAAUUCGAGUUUGCUUCCUUCAUGUCUGUAACGUUAAGCUGUGAUCAUCGUGUUAUUGAUGGUGCAAUUGGUGCCGAAUGGCUGAAGGCAUUCAAAGGGUACAUUGAGAAUCCCGAGUCAAUGUUGCUCUAAAUUCAUGGCUUGCUUAUUUCUCAUCAUGUAUUUUUCUGCCUUGCUGUAAUCAACCAACAAGAGGCAUGUGAACGCAAUUCAGCUGUUCCAAUUCGCUUGUGAUGAUUGUAUCACUGAGCAGGUUCCCUUUUGUAGCAUUUACGAACCGAAAAAGUUUGCAUAAAAUUCUUUUCUGGGAAUAAAAAGGGGGGUGGAUCAGGCAUGAGUUAUGCACUGAAUUUUGGUCAUGUACUAUAUAAUUUCCCUACGUGAGCUGAUAUAAAGAGAUGACUUUUUUGCGA